rnacentral:rRNA from 1 species
UACAGAGGGUGCAAGCGUUGUUCGGAAUUAUUGGGCGUAAAGCGCGUGUAAGCGGCCUUGCAAGUCGGGUGUGAAAGCCCUCAGCUCAACUGAGGAAGUGCGCCCGAAACUGCAGAGCUUGAGUACCGGAGAGGAUGGUGGAAUUCCCGAAGUAGAGGUGAAAAUUCGUAGAUAUCGGGAGGAACACCGGUGGCGAAGGCGACCAUCUGGACGGAUACUGACGCUGAGACGCGAAAAGCGUGGGUAGCAAACAGG